GAGGAGAAGGGCAGGCUGUCACAGAAUGCCAGGCAGCUGAAGUCAAGUGUGAUGCGAGCUAAGGGCUGGAAGGUGUCCGUGUGCACUUAGAACCAAGAGCAAGAGGUCAGGCCAGUACUUUGCUCUUCCUUAACCGAAAGAAUCAUCCAUGCAGCCACUUAAUCGACCAGCCAAUCAAUCAGUCAACCAAUUUCAAUCAUUAGUAUAUCGUCCUGGAUGCGGAUGUCUCUUGAACAAGUGCUACCGAGGAAGAAGAUAGCCUAGAGGUUAGAGAGCUGGAAUCCGAACUGAGAGCGCGCUGGUUCAAUGCCCGAUUAGCGCAGCAAACCUCCCCUCGUCGACUCGUGGACUCCAUAGAGGGUUGGGGGAGGUAAGGCAGCGAGGGAGAGGAGAUGGGGCCCCGAGAAAAGUGAUGUCUCUAACACUCAACCCCUCGAACGAAGUAAAAAGCCUGCUGACCGGUCGAUGUGCUGCUUAUCAACCGUCUGCCUCGCCGCCGGCCACAAACAAGAACGCUCCCUGUAUGUAGAUCGCUGCUUCAUGUAAGUGCACGUGAGGACACGCUCCUGCUGAUUAUCGGGAAAGUGACGACCUCAUUAAGCAGUUAGUAAAAAGCUGUGAUUGUUUCUCAGUAAGCCGUAGAGCGGUAUUUAUUUGUAAGCAUAAGAUAUUGGGAAAUAUAAAUAAAAAUGUUUCGAUUGGGUUUAUUGUAUUGUUGUUGAAAUUAUUUGCUAUGUUACUUUGCGAAAUAAAUGGGUUUGUGGACUUCAUGUCAAGUUCAGAAUCAACAAAAAUUAAAGACAUUUUCUCAAAGAAUUUUCU